GAUGAACGCUGGCGGCGUGCCUAAUACAUGCAAGUCGAGCGAACGGACGAGAAUCUUGCUUCUCUGAUGUUAGCGGCGGAAGUGUGAGUAACACGUGGAUAACCUACCUAUAAGACUGGGAUAACUUCGGGAAACCGUAGCUAAUACCGGAUAAUAUAUUGAACCGCAUGGUUCAAAAGUGAAAGACGGUCUUGCUGUCACUUAUAGAUAGAUCCGCGCUGCAUUAGCUAAUUGGUAAGGUAACGGCUUACCAAGGCAACGAGGCAUAGCCGACCAGAGAGGGAACUCGGCCAAGCCGGAACGAGGGCGCGGACCAGACUACUACGGGAGGCAGACGGAGGAGACUUCCCGGAAUGGGAGAAAUCCUGACGGAGCAACGCCGCGUGAGUGAUGAAGGUCUCCGGAUCGUAAAACUCUGUUAGUAGGGAAGAACAUAUGUGUAAGUAACUGUGCACAUCUUGACGGUACCUAACCAGAAAGCCACGGCUAACUACGUG
rnacentral:rRNA from 1 species